rnacentral:rRNA from 1 species
UGGGGAAUAUUGCACAAUGGGCGCAAGCCUGAUGCAGCCAUGCCGCGUGUAUGAAGAAGGCCUUCGGGUUGUAAAGUACUUUCAGCGAGGAGGAAGGCGUUGUGGUUAAUAACCGCAGCGAUUGACGUUACUCGCAGAAGAAGCACCGGCUAACUCCGUGCCAGCAGCCGCGGUAAUACUGAGGGUGCAAGCGUUAAUCGGAAUUACUGGGCGUAAAGCGCACGCAGGCGGUCUGUCAAGUCGGAUGUGAAAUCCCCGGGCUCAACCUGGGAACUGCAUCCGAAACUGGCAGGCUAGAGUCUUGUAGAGGGGGGUAGAAUUCCAGGUGUAGCGGUGAAAUGCGUAGAGAUCUGGAGGAAUACCGGUGGCGAAGGCGGCCCCCUGGACAAAGACUGACGCUCAGGUGCGAAAGCGUGGGGAGCAAACA